UUCGAUCAUAAAAAUUUUUCACUUGUUAUUCAUAUAAUCAAAUCGGAGAAAGAAGCUGGCGUGAACAGCCUUGGAACUAAUGAUAUAAAUAAAAUCGUCUCACCUGCUCAAUAUUAAAAUAAUGAUCUUUGCCGAAGGAAACAGAUACAAGGACUCCAACUUUACCCUUAGUCUCGGGACAGUGAAAUAUUCCGUAACCUCACAAUUUACUUAUAUGCGUCUCGUUUCGAGGGCUGCGGGCGAGAACGACACGAUCAUUCACUACUGCAAUUCACUGAGGUUCAUUGAUGGCAUAUUGUGCAAGAGAAACGACGAGGAAAACGUUAAUUAAGUAUUCUGGAGAUGGCUGCGUGUCGGAGGAAGUUUGGUGAAAAGCGGGCGAAAUGCAGUCGGACACUCGCGCUUCUUUACAGCUGUAAUAAAAUCCAGGCCGACGAACAUCGUCGGGUGUAAAAGUAUUACGAGCCGUUUCCGCGAGAGGUUCCAGAUUACGAAGCGAUGAUGAUCCACUUAUACCUACGAUUUCUUUUGUGAACCGAGCUCUCGCGCUUGUUGCCGUUCCCUUUACAGCUGUCGUUCGAUCAAACCAACUUCGUUUUAUCAGCACGCUCUUUCUGGGAUGCGUGGGCAAAGCUAUGCGUCGAAUGAAAUUUACUUUUUAAUAUUGAGAAUAUUACGUCCUAGUGAUAAAGAAAGGUAGCGUCGAAGUGGAAGAACCAAAGUGUCGUAAUGUGGGAUAUCUAGGGAGAGGAUAAAAGCGAUUUAACUGCGGCGAUGGGUGCGGUAACAGGUUCCGCUGAUUAAAAAGAAUAUUCUUUGAUG